CGCGAUCACUCCUCGGGGAGGCAGCAGUAGGGAAUCUUCCACAAUGGGCGCAAGCCUGAUGGAGCAACACCGCGUGAGUGAAGAAGGGUUUCGGCUCGUAAAGCUCUGUUGUUAAAGAAGAACACGUAUGAGAGUAACUGCUCAUACGUUGACGGUAUUUAACCAGAAAGUCACGGCUAACUACGUGCCAGCAGCCGCGGUAAUACGUAGGUGGCAAGCGUUAUCCGGAUUUAUUGGGCGUAAAGAGAGUGCAGGCGGUUUUCUAAGUCUGAUGUGAAAGCCUUCGGCUUAACCGGAGAAGUGCAUCGGAAACUGGAUAACUUGAGUGCAGAAGAGGGUAGUGGAACUCCAUGUGUAGCGGUGGAAUGCGUAGAUAUAUGGAAGAACACCAGUGGCGAAGGCGGCUACCUGGUCUGCAACUGACGCUGAGACUCGAAAGCAUGGGUAGCGAACAGGAUUAGAUACCCUGGUAG
rnacentral:rRNA from 1 species